GACAGAGGGUGCAAACGUUGUUCGGAAUUACUGGGCGUAAAGCGUGUGUAGGCUGCUACAUAAGUCGGAUGUGAAAGCCCCGGGCUCAACCCGGGAAGUGCACUCGAUACUGCGUAGCUUGAGUCUCGGAGAGGUUGGUGGAAUUCUCGGUGUAGAGGUGAAAUUCGUAGAUAUCGAGGGGAACACCGGUGGCGAAGGCGGCCAACUGGACGAAGACUGACGCUGAGACACGAAAGCGUGGGGAGCAAACAGG
rnacentral:rRNA from 1 species